CAGUAGCCGCGGGAAAACGGAGGGUGCAAGCGUUAAUCGGAAUUACUGGGCGUAAAGCGUGCGUAGGCGGUUCGUUAAGUCUGUUGUGAAAGCCCCGGGCUCAACCUGGGAAUGGCAAUGGAUACUGGCGAGCUAGAGUGUGUCAGAGGAUGGUGGAAUUCCCGGUGUAGCGGUGAAAUGCGUAGAGAUCGGGAGGAACAUCAGUGGCGAAGGCGGCCAUCUGGGACAACACUGACGCUGAGGCACGAAAGCGUGGGGAGCAAACAGGAUUAGAUACCCCGGUAGUCCCUGUCUCUUAUAC
rnacentral:rRNA from 1 species